GGUGUCCCUAAUACUUGACCCAGUGCCUGGCAUACAGGAGGGGUCUAGUGUUUUUAAGUGAACAAAUGCAUCUGGCCCUGACACGUUCAGGCAUCUGUUUUCACCUACAUUCUCACCUUGGUCACAAAACCACCUCAUGGCUUGGAGAUUAUUUUCCUAUUUUAUGGGUGAGGCUGACUUCCUCAAAACUGGACAGGAGAGAGGAAGGGAGAGGGAUAGAGAGUUAGAAACAUCGAUCAGCUGCCUCCUGCACACCCCCUACUGGAGAUGUGCCCGAAACCAAGGUACAUGCCCUUGACUGGAAUCGAACCUGGGACCCUUCAGUCCGAAGAUCACCACUCUAUCCACUGAGCCAAUCUGGUCAGGGCGCUAAACAAGUCUUAAACUGCUGAAUCACUCA